UACAAAUAUUCAACUUGCAAAUAGGAGAACAUUUAUUACAAUUCUUGUUAAACCCGAUUCUAUUCGCACUGAAGUUUUUCCAUCGGUGUAUACAGCUGACACAACGUCAUUUAAAAGGACAUAAAUGCCUCCACGGAGUGCGUUUAUCCCAAGUCAAUAAAUCCAUGCUCAAGAUCGAUAUCGUGUGCAUUUAACGUCUCCCAUAAACUAUCGAAUCUUAUACGGUGAACUAGUUCCGUUGACCAGACAGGUUGCCUCGGCCAUCCUGCACGGAUAUACGUAAAGUCGACGUCCUUAAAUGCAUCAUGCGUCUCGUAAUACUCAUCCGAUUAUCCGUUCAUUCAUUUCGCUUAAUUGCCCACACCGUUAUCAGACGGGCUUUAAGCUGAACGUCUGAGGAACGCAGCAUCCUCGGUUGUUUUAUAAAAAGACAAGUUUAUUCAUAUACGGAUCACGUUAUGAUAAUGUGCGAUUAAAUUCAUAUAUAGGUAACUAUGCUUGCAGGGGCAAGUGAGACUAGUUAUGGAAUGUGUGAGAGAGGAUGUUGAAUCACAGGUUGAAGCUAUAAUUACGUACAAAGAUUAUGGAGGAAAUGGUAAAAAGAGUAAAUUAUAGUAAAUACA